AGGCUGUUGGGUAUUCGAAUUGCUGGAAAUUGUUUGCUAUUGCUGCUGAUUCAUUACUACCUAUCUUAAAAUGUUCAAUUGAAAGGCUCAACUAUUUGACUAUUGAAGUGUGUGUUGAAUUAUUGUAUUAGAAUAGACGUUAGGAGAUAUGUACAUGUUCAUGCUUAUCUUAUAUAUGUAUUUACAUUGUAUGACUAUGCUGGAAAUUGGAGUGUGUUUAGACUGAUUUGGACUUUUAUGAUAAUCAAUUGAUAUUAGCCUGUCGUUUAGUCUAGGAAUAUGGUAUUUUAAUAACCGUUUGGGCUAUUAAAUUAAGAAUGGUAUCAGUUGUCGAUAACUUAGUUCGAGUG
rnacentral:lncRNA from 1 species